AAGUCGUAACAAGGUUUCCGUAGGUGAACCUGCGGAAGGAUCAUUCACAAUGAGUGUUUAAUGGCACUCCAAAUCCAUUACCCACCUUGUGUGCAUUGUCGGGAGGACUCUUUUUCCCAAUCUUCUCUCUCACUCUCUCCUUUCUCCUCUUCCUCUCCCUCUCUCUCUCUUUGAGGGGAGAGAGAGGGGUUGUGGAGGGGGGAGGAGGGGAGAAGGGAGAGGGAAAGAGGGAACUCCAUUUCAUUCAUACUCUGUUCUUCAGUAUCUGUCUACUUCAAUUGAGUAUAAAACUCGAAUACAACUUUCAACAACGGAUCUCUUGGCUCUC
rnacentral:misc_RNA from 1 species